rnacentral:rRNA from 1 species
CGGAGGAUCCAAGCGUUAUCCGGAAUCAUCGGGUUUAAAGGGUCCGUAGGCGGUUUUGUAAGUCAGUGGUGAAAGCCCAUCGCUCAACGGUGGAACGGCCAUUGAUACUGCAAGACUUGAAUUAUUAGGAAGUAACUAGAAUAUGUAGUGUAGCGGUGAAAUGCUUAGAUAUUACAUGGAAUACCAAUUGCGAAGGCAGGUUACUACUAAUGGAUUGACGCUGAUGGACGAAAGCGUGGGGAGCGAACAGGAUUAGAUACCCUGGUAGUCCACGCCGUAAACGAUGGAUACUAGCUGUUCGGAGCAAUCUGAGUGGUUAAGCGAAAGUGAUAAGUAUCCCACCUGGGGAGUACGUUCGCAAGAAUG